CUUCCAGUAGCACCUUAGAGACCAACUAAGUUAGUUAUUGGUAUGAGCUUUCGUGUACAUGCACACUUCAGGUAAACUAACUUAGUUGGUCUCUAAGGUGCUACUGGAAG